UACGUAGGGUGCGAGCGUUGUCCGGAAUUAUUGGGCGUAAAGGGCUCGUAGGCGGUUUGUCACGUCGGGAGUGAAAACUCGGGGCUCAACCCCGAGCCUGCUUCCGAUACGGGCAGACUAGAGGUAUGCAGGGGAGAAUGGAAUUCCUGGUGUAGCGGUGAAAUGCGCAGAUAUCAGGAGGAACACCGAUGGCGAAGGCAGGUCACUGGGCCGCAACUGACGCUGAGGAGCGAAAGCAUGGGGAGCGAACAGG
rnacentral:rRNA from 1 species